CAGCCGCCACGGUAAUACGUAGGUGGCAAGCGUUGUCCGGAAUUAUUGGGCGUAAAGGGCUCGCAGGCGGUUUCUUAAGUCUGAUGUGAAAGCCCCCGGCUCAACCGGGGAGGGUCAUUGGAAACUGGGAAACUUGAGCGCAGAAGAGGAGAGUGGAAUUCCACGUGUAGCGGUGAAAUGCGUAGAGAUGUGGAGGAACACCAGUGGCGAAGGCGACUCUCUGGUCUGUAACUGACGCUGAGGAGCGAAAGCGUGGGGAGCGAACAGGAUUAGAUACCCGAGUAGUCCCUGUCUCUUAUAC
rnacentral:rRNA from 1 species